GAACCCGGAGCUUGCUCUGGUGGGAUUAGUGGCGAACGGGUGAGUAACACGUGAGCAAUCUGCCCCCGACUCUGGGAUAACCCCGAGAAAUCGGAGCUAAUACCGGAUACGACACCUCCUGGCAUCAGGUGGGUGUGGAAAGAAUUUCGGUUGGGGAUGAGCUCGCGGCCUAUCAGCUUGUUGGUGAGGUAAUGGCUCACCAAGGCGACGACGGGUAGCCGGCCUGAGAGGGUGACCGGCCACACUGGGACUGAGACACGGCCCAGACUCCUACGGGAGGCAGCAGUGGGGAAUAUUGCACAAUGGGCGCAAGCCUGAUGCAGCAACGCCGCGUGGGGGACGAAGGCCUUCGGGUUGUAAACCUCUUUUGGCAGGGAAGAAGCGAAAGUGACGGUACCUGCAGAAAAAGCACCGGCUAACUACGUGCCAGCAGCCGCGGUAAUACGUAGGGUGCAAGCGUUGUCCGGAAUUAUUGGGCGUAAAGAGCUCGUAGGCGGUGUGUCACGUCUGCUGUGAAAAUCCAAGGCUCAACCUUGGACUUGCAGUGGGUACGGGCACACUCGAGUGCGGUAGGGGAGAUUGGAAUUCCUGGUGUAGCGGUGGAAUGCGCAGAUAUCAGGAGGAACACCGAUGGCGAAGGCAGAUCUCUGGGCCGUAACUGACGCUGAGGAGCGAAAGCGUGGGGAGCGAACAGGAUUAGAUACCCUGGUAGUCCACGCCGUAAACGGUGGGAACUAGAUGUGGGGUCCGUUCCACGGAUUCCGUGUCGCAGCUAACGCAUUAAGUUCCCCGCCUGGGGAGUACGGCCGCAAGGCUAAAACUCAAAGGAAUUGACGGGGGCCCGCACAAGCGGCGGAGCAUGCGGAUUAAUUCGAUGCAACGCGAAGAACCUUACCAAGGCUUGACAUAUAGGAGGAAAAGUGCAGAGAUGCACUCCCCGCAAGGCUCUAUACAGGUGGGUGCAUGGUUGUCGUCAGCUCGUGUCGUGAGAUGUUUGGGUUAAGUCCCGCAACGAGCGCAACCCUCGUCCUAUGUUGCCAGCACGUAAAAGGUGGGAACUCAUGGGAGACUGC
rnacentral:rRNA from 1 species